rnacentral:rRNA from 1 species
UACGUAGGGUGCAAGCGUUAAUCGGAAUUACUGGGCGUAAAGCGUGCGCAGGCGGUUAUGUAAGUCAGAUGUGAAAGCCCCGGGCUUAACCUGGGAAUGGCAUUUGAGACUGCAUAGCUAGGGUGCGGAAGAGGGAAGCGGAAUUUCCGGUGUAGCGGUGAAAUGCGUAGAUAUCGGAAGGAACACCAGUGGCGAAAGCGGCUUCCUGGUCCAGCACCGACGUUCAGGCACGAAAGCGUGGGGAGCAAACAGG